CUCAAUCUCUAAAUUGAACUUUAAUCACAUACAGGAGCCUCUUGCAGGGUCUAGCAAGCUAUUAACAUAGCAGGGGAUAAGAAAAUCUUAAUUAAACAGAACUUGCAAUAAAGAAAGCCUAAAUAGGGCUCUCUUUACAGGAAGUGUUUAUGGAAGGCUGUGCAAGUCACAUGCAGGGAGGUGUGACUAGGGUUCAUAAACAAAGGGAUUUAACUCCUAAAUGGCAGAGGAUUGAGCAGUGAGGCCGCAGGGGCAUGUUCUAUACACCAAAACUGCUUCAUUAAGCUAAAGUUGUUCGGGUGAAUAUAGUGUCCCUUUAAGUCUUCUAUUUAAGGGAAACUGCAAAAAUCAAUACAAAGAAACACUACAUUUAUUUAAGUAUGCAUAGGGAUUUGGGGUAACACUUUUAUUGGUUUUUAUUGUAUGUAUUAGGGCUGAUGUGUACUAUGGUCAUACCUGCCGCCCAGGAGCCUGAGUGCAGGACUUAUUUUUGUGUAUGUGUAUUUGCUUUUGUAUCACACAGCCAAGUUACAAUGUUGCUGCCCACCCCAUGUGUUCCCUAUUAAGGGUUAAUAAGUAUGUAGAGGUUUAGAAAGAUACCCCUCUCUGUCUCAUUAGACAUUUUUUCCCCACUUAACUGAAGGAAGCAACGUGAAUUGUUAGCGUAGGACCCACCUAAGAGGUUUGCUUUGAUGUGUCAGGUGGGCUUACACCUAAUGGCCCUUGGAGUGAAACCAAAAAAAAAAAACACCUUAAAUUUAUUUAAGUAUUCAUAG